UACGUAGGGGGCUAGCGUUGCUCGGAAUCACUGGGCGUAAAGGGUGCGUAGGCGGGUUUUUAAGUCAGAGGUGAAAUCCUGGAGCUCAACUCCAGAACUGCCUUUGAUACUGAGAAUCUUGAGUACGGGAGAGGUGAGUGGAACUGCGAGUGUAGAGGUGAAAUUCGUAGAUAUUCGCAAGAACACCAGUGGCGAAGGCGGCUCACUGGCCCGUAACUGACGCUGAGGCACGAAAGCGUGGGGGAGCAAACAGG
rnacentral:rRNA from 1 species